AAUAAAAGGAAAAUUGCAAGGAAAUAAAAGAAAAUCCUAAACUAAUCUUCUAGUAAUCUUUUCUUCUUUUUCUUCACUUUAUCCCUGCAAAAUGUAACAAAAUAAACAGAAAGACAAACAAACUAUUUAUAACAUGUCAAUACUAUCAUUUUUUAUGCAGAACUAGAUAUGAGCAUAUAUUUCCAGAAUUACAUGGUGUGAAUAUUGUAUGAGUAAGAUUCUAAUGGAAAUGAAUUUUGAUAGGAGCCCACUUUCGACGAGUAUUUAUCUGACAGGGCUAAAUAAUCAGGGCAUUUACCUUUUGAUAAUGUUAUUAUACUAUACUACCAGUAUACUACUCCACUUGGAUUUUUUAGAUGAGCAGAUCUAAGAUAGACAUCUGUUCAAGUGGCUAUAGGUAGGCUUGAAGAAUUCUCAUCGGCUCAAGUGGCUACAGGUAGCCGCACAGCUGGAAUAUAGACUACUAGUACUAUUUGAAAAGAAAACAAGAGCAAAUCUGAACGUACUAGUCAGAUCCGAUCACAUUGAGCUAGAAAGAAAAUUCAUCAGGAAACAGAUGGCCAACGACUUACUUCCAGACGUUGAGGAUCUCGUUGUGCUCGGCGAAGACGCUGCGGAGCGCGUCGCGGACGGACUGCUACAGAGAGAGCUGCUGCAGAUGAACACGUUGUCCUGCAGGUAGUCCAGCAGCCAGGAAUUAAAGAUAGAAGGGCUAGAACUGAAAGAACUAACAUCUUAGAAAAAACAGGAGAUAAUUCAUAUAUGCAAAAUACAUAUGAAGUGGUCUUCACCAAAUUUGUUGAAACAUGAACGAAAUGUUUUAGCAGUACCAAUGAUACAUGUCAAAUUAAUUGUUCCUAUCAUGACAAUAUAAAAGUACUACUUGCAUGCCAAUGAAGACUUGCUCAUAUCUAGUUCAGAACAUGUGUAAUUGUGCCAAGUUCACUUGUAAUGCCAUUAUUCAUGAUCUGAACUUUAUCCUCCACAAAAUAAAAUAACAGUUGAUCCAUGGGAAUGAUACUUAAUUUUGAAGCUACUGUUAAUUUAUAAACUGAAUAUAAAGCGAGUUUAUAAAUUCAGAAACAGAAAAAUCAGUUAGGCUACUGUUAACUGAAUUUUGGAGUGUAUACUUAGCAAAGGCUUCAUUUGAAUGUACAGUCAAAUUAAAAAAUGUGUUCAUGGGGCAGCAGCACUAAGAACUGAAAGAAAAAGGUGCAGAAAAAAGCUACUGAAAAACAAUAUCAGAAGUAGUGCAUACGUUGUUGAGGCGCUGACUGAACCAUUGAUAGUACUACCACUCUUCUUUUUUGCGUCCAUUAGCGUGACAAUGAGGUUACAACCUUUAAUUAAUCAUGCAUUAUGUGUAUAAACUAUAAAAAAUAACUACACUGCCUGGUUUUCAUCCAAAUAAGAAAACAGAGCACAAACGAUUUUUUUCACAUAUUCACAUCAUUGAUACAUGAUGACAUUUGAUUGAGUGAUGCAAUGGUGGAAGAAUAGAGUAAUUGUUGUCCAUCAGCUCAUAAAUGAUUAAUUAUUACCUGCUUGAGGAUAGGGGUGGCACACUUUCCUCUUAGAGCAAAAGCAUCAGAGUAGGUUAUUACCUGCUUGAAAUACGCCCCAAAUCCAUAC
rnacentral:lncRNA from 1 species